UGAGCACCGUGGAGCAUGCAAGCCCUUGC
rnacentral:piRNA from 1 species